rnacentral:misc_RNA from 1 species
UUCAAAUCAGUUGUAUGUGUAACAAAACAGGUUAAAACUAACCAGAGGCAGUCAGGGGGCGGUAUUUCGAGGUUGGUCACUUAAAGGCAGUGUCAUCUUCCUGAUUGUGAUUUUGCCUCGUGCGAACACUGGCAUAACAGCCUAUCUACGAUUCAGGGAGGGGUUCAACUUGGCAUUUUAGUCUGAGCUGUACCUCGAUAAAAAAUGUCAACAGACGUGGGAUUACAUGACAAUGUUGAAAUUGGUUACUCAACAGCCUUUCAUCAUGGUGAGAACAUUGAAAUGGAGGAACGAACAAACAACAAUUCACCUGUUGAAUCGUCUGAUUUAAUUCAAAUUAACGUUGGUGGGGUCAAGCACGAAGUUCUCCGAUCAACAUUGCAACGAUUCCCUGGAACUAAACUAGCAAAUCUGAGCAACGACAAUGCACGUAAAGGAAGUGACUUCAUAGUCUCACGGGGUGAAUUUUAUUUUGACCGACAUCCGGGUAUCUUUACAACAAUCCUGAACUGUUAUAGGACAGGAGAAUUGCAUAUGGACAGAAACGCAUGCGGGUGUGCUCUGGCUCAUGAACUAGAAUUUUGGGGCAUCAAUGAAGUAGCUUUCCAGAAAUGUUGCACGACAAAGUACAUGGAGUCCGAAUAUAUGAAAACACAACUGACUCUAUUUGAGAAAACGUUCAGUUCAGAACAGUCGCACUAUAACCGUGAGCCUGGAUGUGGAAAACUCCAGGAAAAAAUCUGGGCAUUUCUCGAUAAUCCAUUUUCUUCCGUUCCAGCGAAGGCGUUUGGUGUUUGGACUGUACUAAUGAUUGUUCUCUCCAUCAUCACACUUUGUCUUGAAACGGUCGAUGGUUUAAAAGAGGAAAUAGGACCACCUGAAAUCUCUAAAAUUACGGGGAUUCAGGAAGGUGUACUUCGUAGCAAUUACUCCGUGGUCAUCCACGAAGGGCUUAAUAACAACCAAACAGGGACAGUCUCUUGGUGGAUCACAGACCCGAUGGAUUCAAACAACUCCAAAAAGGUUAUACAUAUCGGCGAACAUUUUCACGUUCCAAAUUCAUUUCUUAUCUACAUUGAUUAUGUGUUGUUUGCUUACUUUAGCCUGGAACUCGUCACUAGGUUCAUUUUCUCACCACACAAAGGGCGUUUCUGGCUGAGUUUCUAUACAUUCUGUGAUGUCAUCGCACUAAUACCAGGGGUCGUUUUAUACGUUACAAAUUUUGUCCACCCCGUGAAUAAAUUAAAAACAUCAACACUUGAUAUUGUCCGAGCCUUAGGAACCGCCCGAAUCCUGAGGCUCCUGAGAUUUAUGAGAUUUUCCAUGGCAUGUAAGUUGCUGUUAUACACAUUAAUGGCAAGCAUCAAAGAAAUAUUUCUCAUGCUUGGACUACUUUUACUCGGAGCAAUUACCUUUGCAUCGCUCGUGUACUUCGGGGAACUCAUUUCUGACUCGGAUGAAGUUUUGAUAACAAACAUUCCAAUUGGCAUAUGGUACGCUAUGGUUACCAUGACAACUGUAGGAUACGGCGAUUUCUACCCAAAGAGUAUCGGAGGAUAUAUCGUAGGAAGUGGAUGCGUCAUUUGUGGUGUACUCGUCAUCGCCUUUACUGUACCU